UGCCCUCAACUCCUAUCCCUACCUCCUCGUGGUACAGGCCGGGGUACGAGUAACCUUAGGGAAGA
rnacentral:ribozyme from 1 species